rnacentral:tRNA from 1 species
GCACUGGAGGUUCAGUGGUAGGAUUGUUGCCUUCCACGUGGGAGACCCAGGUUCGAUUCCCUGCCAGUGCU